rnacentral:other from 1 species
GACAUUCUGGUUCAUUUGCCAAUGUGUUAAUUAAUUUUGAACCGAUAUUAAAUUAUCUGGUGAUAAUCCAAUGUCGUUGUUGAGCAUUACCUCCUUAGAGGGAAGCCUGAUUCGAUAUGAAGUUCACCACCUGUCCUUUCGGUUCAGGUAUAGCACAUAGCGGUGAAUUGGUUUGUCG